UGGGGAAUUUUGGACAAUGGGCGAAAGCCUGAUCCAGCAAUGCCGCGUGUGUGAAGAAGGCCUUCGGGUUGUAAAGCACUUUUGUCCGGAAAGAAAUCCUUGGCUCUAAUACAGUCGGGGGAUGACGGUACCGGAAGAAUAAGCACCGGCUAACUACGUGCCAGCAGCCGCGGUAAUACGUAGGGUGCAAGCGUUAAUCGGAAUUACUGGGCGUAAAGCGUGCGCAGGCGGUUUGCUAAGACCGAUGUGAAAUCCCCGGGCUCAACCUGGGAACUGCAUUGGUGACUGGCAGGCUAGAGUAUGGCAGAGGGGGGUAGAAUUCCACGUGUAGCAGUGAAAUGCGUAGAGAUGUGGAGGAAUACCGAUGGCGAAGGCAGCCCCCUGGGCCAAUACUGACGCUCAUGCACGAAAGCGUGGGGAGCAAAACAGGAUCUACGAUCACCCGUGGUCAGUCCAGCCGCCCUAAAACGAUGUCAACUAGUUGUUGGGGAUUCAUUUCCUUAGUAACGUAGCUAACGCGUGAAGUUGACCGCCUGGGGGAGUACGGUCGCAAGAUUAAAACUCAAAUGAAUUGACGGGGUCAUAGCUGUUUCCU
rnacentral:rRNA from 1 species